GGAGAUUCAAUCUGAGCUUCUCUUGAGUGUCAGUGCUGUUUUUGAAUAGCUGGAUGGUGAGUAGUCACAGAGUAAUGGACCUUUCCCCUUAUAACAAAAAUUUUGAUCUAGACAAAAAUUUCAUCACAGCUUGAAAGAGCAUCACAAAAUUAGUAAUAUUCCAAAGUUUUGUUGCAAAAUCUUGUAAAAUGCGCAUAAUAUAGCCUUGCGAAGUUUGCCGUUUUUCAGUCAUUUUGUAUUACAAACGGGAAAUUGACAUACGAUGCGGGUGUUGGGGCUGCAAUUUCCCGUUUGUAAUGCAAAAUGACUGAAAAUUGCAAACUUCGCAAGGCUCUAUUUUCCUCAUUUUACAACAUUUCGCAACGAAACUUUGGAAUAUUACUAAUUUUGUGAUGCUCUUUCAGGCUGUGAUGGAAUAUUUGUCUAGACUUGCCUAGAUCAAAAUUUUGGUUAUAAGGGGAAAGGUCUAUUUACGACACACUAACCUUCAUCUAUUCAAAAACAG